rnacentral:rRNA from 1 species
UACGGAGGGAGCUAGCGUUGUUCGGAAUUACUGGGCGUAAAGGGCGUGUAGGCGGUCAAGUAAGUGGAAUGUGAAAGCCCCCGGCUUACCCGGGGAUCUGCAUCCCAAACUGCUUGGCUUGAGUACGGGAGAGGAUAGGGGAAUUCCUGGUGUAGCGGUGAAAUGCGCAGAUAUCGGGAGGAACACCAGUAGCGAAGGCGGCACUCUGGGCCGGUACUGACGCUGAGGAGCGAAAGCGUGGGGAGCAAACAGG